CAUGUGUAAGUACAAUGUUUUAAACAUGAUACCGCGGAAAGCUCAUUAUAACAGCUAUAGACUACACGGUAAAUAUUUUAGUUGGAUAACUGAGGUAAUUCUUGAGCUAAUACACGCUAUUUAUACCACAUUAGUGGUGCGUUUAUUUGAUUAAACCAUUUUAUAUUGGUUGACUCAAAAUAUCCUCGCUGAUUUUGUUACUAAAACAUACCGUAUGUGUAUCUGGUUUAUCAACUUUCGAUGGUAGGGUAUUGGCCUACCAUGGUUGUGACGGAUAACGGAGAAUUAGGGUUCGACUCCGGAGAGGGAGCCUGAGAAACGGCUACCACAUCCAAGGAAGGCAGCAGGCGCGAAAAUUACCCAAUUUUAGUUAAAAGAGGUAGUGACGAAAAAUGACAACCAAAUAUUAUUAUUAAUAUUUGGAUUGAAAAUCUUCAAGUAUAAAUAACUUGUUGGUAAAGGAAAGGGCAAGUCUGGUGCCAGCAGCCGCGGUAAUACCAGCUUUCCAAGUGCAUAAAAUGAUUGUUGUGGUUAAAAAGCUCGUAGUUGGAUUAUAAAGAUUGUAUAAUGAGCAUCUUGGAUGUUAUUUAAUCAUUAUCAUCUUAUAUUUUUAUUAUAUUAGAAAUAAUAUAAUAACUGUUACUUUGAAUAAAUCAGAGGGUUUAAACCAGACAUUAUAUGUUUGUAUGGUCUAGCAUGGAAUAACACUAUAGAAAAAUUUAGUGUGGUUUCACUUAAUUUUUCAUGAUUAAUAGGAACAAACGGGGGCAUUCGUAUCGCUACGUUAGAGGUGAAAUUCUUGGACCGUAGCGAGACGUCCUACUG
rnacentral:rRNA from 1 species